rnacentral:rRNA from 1 species
GACGAACGCUGGCGGCGUGCUUAACACAUGCAAGUCGAACGGAAAGGCCCUGCUUUUGUGGGGUGCUCGAGUGGCGAACGGGUGAGUAACACGUGAGUAACCUGCCCUUGACUUUGGGAUAACUUCAGGAAACUGGGGCUAAUACCGGAUAGGAGCUCCUGAUGCAUGGUGGGGGUUGGAAAGUUUCGGCGGUUGGGGAUGGACUCGCGGCUUAUCAGCUUGUUGGUGGGGUAGUGGCUUACCAAGGCUUUGAAGGGUAGCCGGCCUGAGAGGGUGACCGGCCACAUUGGGACUGAGAUACGGCCCAGACUCCUACGGGAGGCAGCAGUGGGGAAUAUUGCACAAUGGGCGGAAGCCUGAGGCAGCAACGCCGCGUGCGGGAUGACGGCCUUCGGGUUGUAAACCGCUUUCGCCGGUGACGAAGCGUGAGUGACGGUAAUGGGUAAAGAAGCACCGGCUAACUACGUG